UGACACUGUGAGGUAAGUAAUGUGCCGGCCAUCACUUUAUGGGAAAGAAACUGAGGGCAGACUGCCACGCUCUGAGCCCCAUGUCCUCGGCGUCUCUCACUAUUGUGACCUCACUGGUUCUGGCACCAGCCCUUCCUACUAAGGAACAAGACCACAAAUUAGUCCAAUCCCGUCUCAAUCUCUCAUUUCCCAGCACAGAGAAGAAUGAGAUGGAAAAGCCAAAUCCCCCCACCCCCUAGUUGUAACUCUGGCAUCUUGCCCAUCAUCCAUGGCUUUCGUUGGAACCUGGUGAACCAGUACCAAUUUCUCAACACACAACGGAAUAAAUUCAGCUCAAAUUUUUUUGAGAAAUAAAG